AGAUUGAACGCUGGCGGCAUGCCUUACACAUGCAAGUCGAACGGUAAAGGAGCAAUCCUUGAGAGUGGCGAACGGGUGAGUAAUAUAUCGGAACGUGCCCAGUCGUGGGGGAUAACGUAGAGAAAUUUACGCUAAUACCGCAUACGAUCUACGGAUGAAAGCGGGGGACCGAAAGGCCUCGCGCGAUUGGAGCGGCUGAUAUCAGAUUAGGUUGUUGGUGAGGUAAAAGCUACACCGAAGCCGACGAUCUGUAGCUGGUUUGAGAGAACGACCAGCCACACGUGGACUAGAGACACGCCCAGACUCCACGGGACGCAGUCAGGUAGGGGAAUUUGGAAUAAGUGGGCGA
rnacentral:rRNA from 1 species